ACGGUGCGGAUCUAUCAUUGAUGAGUCCAACUGAGGGUUCAGCAUACCAGAUGAAUCCGUCAUAUUAUCAUCCAACCCUUCUUGUGCUUUACCUUGUUUAAAGAGCAGCCCUGUUUUAUUAGUUGAACUAGAUGCACAUGAAAACUCAUCCAUGGUUUCAGCCGGUGCAUGUUCCACAUGAGUUUCUCCAACACCUGUUAUCUCUGAUUUGUUAUCAUCAGUCCUCACAGCCGAGUGUGUAAGUUUGGAUGUAUCCUCAUCAGCUGGAAGCUCACGUGCUUGGAGAUACUGAUCAGAUAGCCUUUGCUCUAGUUCUUUAAUCCUUUUCUCAUAGGAUUCACACUGGAUUUGCUUGGUUUUUAGCAUAGUCUGUAGGUGUUUCUGAUACUGAUCUUUCAAAUUUAGAGCUUCAGUUGUCUUCUCAGCAGCACUUUUCAGUAAACUAUCUAGUCUACUGUCAUCCAGCGACUCAUAAUCAAAUUCAGGGCUCAUUGAACAAAUCAUAGCUAUUUUAGAAGCGAGUUCAGCUUUUAGUUUUGCAUUUUCAACUUCCAUCUUGCUGGUUCCGGCAAUCUCUGCCAACUCUGAACCUUCAAGUAAAUCCAUAGAAUCAAAUUUCUCAGGGGAGUCCACGACACUUUCUUCAAUCUCAGCUGUGUGUGAACUAUCAUUUGACAUGGAAAAUGAACCUCUGGAAGUCCCCUGUUUCUCAGUCUUAGAAAGUAAUCCAACUAAAUGUUCUGGAGCAUAGCGGUCAACAUCUGAAAUGUCAAUGUCAAGCAAAUUCGUGUCAAAAGGAGUUAUAUUGACAUCACACUGGUUAGGUGUAUCAUACAAUCCCAUUGAUGUCAGUAUAUCCCUUGGUAUAUACAAACUAUGUACUCUAAGAAAUUCUUCUCGUCUCCUUACUUCAGCCUCUCUCUUGGUUGCAAGCCUUUCAGCCAAUUGUCCAGCCAUGCCCAUGUAAAGCUUCAUUGUAGCCUUUCUUCUCACCACCUCAGCAAGGCAUGCCCUGUAUGCAGGACCAAUUCCAUGCACCACCCUUAAAUGCUCAAAUUGGUCACUUUGGCGCUUGAAAAGCUCCUGGAAGACAGAAAACUCGAAGCGCACACCUUUGAUUGUGUAUUGUAUAUAUGCUAUCUGUUGCAUGUACUUGUGCACAAAGACAUUCAUUUCAUUCUUUUUAUCCUGACAAAAAUUAAGCAAUUUGGAUAUUGCACGCUCACAAUCCUGCAUCUUAGGAAGACAACUCUUCUCAUGGCUAUCAUACAUAGGACCUAAGGCUGAAACUGCAUCAUGGGGACGAAGUGAAGAGGACAGCUUGCUGCUAAGAGAGUCAUCAACAAGCUUCUUUACAGUGUUCACGUCUUUCCUGCACAAACAUGAUAAUUAAUUUAGCGGAGACAUAUAAACAAAUCAUGUACCAGAAAAGGGAAGGUACAGGCAUUAGACCACUCAACAUAAAAAACCAAUCUAAAGAACCACAGAAAAUAAUACGACAUAAGAAAAAGAUUAUCCAGGACAAGUGUAACAUCAAUUCCAGCCUGGUCAACAUUGGUAUAAAAGACACCCAAGUCAAUCUCCAAAUGCAUGUGCCAAUAUGUACGUCAAAAUAGAGCAUGCUUAUAUACAACAAUCAACAGGCCUUGGCACAUUGAAAGAUACAAAAAAUAAUAAUAAUAAUAAUAAUUUUUCCUUUGUCUAGAGUUGGAUAAGAAAAAUUAAUGAUGUGGCUUAAGCCAAAAAAUAGUACUGCCUACCAAAGUAUUUAGCAAAUAUAAAAGAAGAGCAACAACAACUUCAGCUUUGUUCUUUCUUUCAAUUAAAGACCAAAGCUUACACUGUUGAAACUGCCAAAAUACCAUUCUUAACAUUUUAAAAUUUUCCAAAUUUGAGUUGUCUUGGUUUUCUUAAAUUCUGGUUACAGUAGACUAAGAAAAACUGGAACACCAAAAAGAGCUUUUUUAAGCACUUUUAAAUAAUCCCCACUUCAGGAGCUUGUGUUAAGGAGCACCAUUGAGGAGGGCCACCAACCCCAACUUUCUCUUUCUGAGCAUCCAAGGAUUUAAUCAAGAAAAUUACCACUGAAAAGAGACAAACAUAUCCCAUCCAUAGAAAAAAGAUAUUCCUAUGCAAUUAAUUCCAAAGACAUUCCCGAGAAUCUAAAUAAAACCUCUGUCUAAUUGACUUCUUCAAGAGAGAACUAUUACAGAAACUGAUGUCCUUGUCCACAUCAAUGUUCACCUAAUAACACACUGAACUUGUGACAUGAGGCUCCUACUGAAAAGAUAGCACAGAACUAUAGCCUUUGUUUUAUAUAAACCUCCCUACCUUCAGAUUCUAAUUCAUUAAAGUACCAACAGAACGCUAACUCCUUUUUCCAAUUAUUGACAAAGCAUGUAUAAAUAUCUUCAAUUUAAAUACCUGAUCUUCCAAAUUCUUUUACUGACUAGAUUACAUAAGCAUUGUCGAGAUGUUUGACCUUCUAAUGUCUUUUACUGAAAAUUAUGUUUGCCAUGCUAUUUAAUUGCAACAGUUACACAUUUCUCUGAAGCUGCAACACCUAACAAAAAAGUUAUUUAUCAAAAAAGUUAUUUAUAUGAGAAAAACCAGCUUAAUCAAGUGAUUCAUGGCCACAGGGCCUCAGAUGUUCAAAACUGCACCAUAGGCAAGUUUACAUUACCUAAAAGCGGUGAAAGAAUAGGACAGGAAAGUGAUGUUUUAGAAAUUCCAAGGGAACUGCUGUUUAAGAGGAAAAAACAAUGCAAAAGAUUAAUAUGCCAAAAUCAGAACUAAACAUGCAUAAAAUUUUCAUGCGACCGUACUCAUAAGUUUAAAAUCAAACAAAAGUAAGGUCAAAGACAUCAAUAGUCAUGGUGAAAUUUUAAGAAAUUUCUAGAGAACUGCUGUUUCAGCAGGGAAAAUCAACGCAAGGCAUUCAUGUGCCAAAAUCAGAACCAGAUAUAAUAAGUUUUCAUGCAAACAUCCUCACAUAUAAGUUUAAAUCCAUCAAAAUAAAGUCAAACACAUUACCAGUCAUCGUGACAUUUCACUAUAAUAACAAAAAGUCAAUUUCAAAUUCAUGGAAUCAGUAAGACAGUUUAUUAUGCAACACAUUUACAAAUUAUAGACCAGUACUAAAUUGGGGAACAAAACACAUAGAAAUCCAACAAAUUCACUGAGAGAGAACAGGACAGUGAGAGUACCUUAAGGUCUGCAUUAUGCUUUUUUGCUCAUUAAUAUACCGCUGGUGCUCUUUUAGAGUGGUUUCGAUUUCUCCCACAUGGAAAGAAGCUUUACUGGAAAACAACUGUUCAGCAUUGCGCUUUAGCUGUCCAAACUCCUGCUUAAAGUCUAAAACUUUAUUCUCAAAUUGCUUGUGGGAAUUGCUACAGUCCUCCACAGCCUUUUGCAAGUUCUCUUCCUUCACAAAAUCCAGUAAGCACCUGCGGCUAGCACCUUGUAAUGCAGGCAAAAUCUUGCAAGCUUUCAAUUUCUCUAUAUCUCUUCCAAAAUUUGCCAGAAGAUUAGCAUGCCUUCUAUGCUGCUGCGAAUAAAACUUCUCAAAAUCCCUAUAGUUUUGGAGAAUCAUCCUAUAAAAAUGAUCCAAAUUAUGACCAGCAAUCUCCAAUGCUCUCUCUUGAACCUUUUGCUCUCUGAAAAGCCGCUCACAGAUAUCCAAUUUUGCUCGCGUACGGGAAUAAAUAGCAUCUCCAAACUGAAAAUGAUAUCUGAAUUGCCUCUCAUACGAUGGCAAGGCCUUCAGAGCAGGGUCAGGAGCGUCAUCCAAGGGGUGACGGUUGUGGGAGGAGGACGGGACUUGGGGAUCAGGAAUAUCAAUUAUAUCAACUUGCUCAUCUGCAGGAGGCUCUGAAUUGCUCCUCAUUCUUGCUCUAUUAAACAAGAAUACUUCCCGAUCACCAGACGGAAGUCUAUAGGUAGAAAGGGGCCGCUGAGAUUCCAACUUCAUGUCUAAGCAUAAAAGAAGCUGAUCAUUAAACUGAAUCCCUGUAACUGAUUCUAGGAAUCUCUGGACAGCCUCAACGAUAUAAUAUUCAUCGCACUCGAGCUCGAACGAGUGCCCAUUCUCAGCAAUAUGAACCAAAAGCUUGCCCGUCUGAACAACACCUUCUGUGACAUUUGAACUCAUUGUAAAACUGCCCCUCCACCGCAACAAUCAGAAUCAGCUAAGAAAUAAGAACAACCACAGCAACAACGCGAAUUGAAUAGUUCAGCUAAGGUCAGGGCUAAAACACUAGUUACAGCUUCUCCAACUGAUUAGCCCCAGACAGAUGAACAGUUCCCCCAAUUUUAGACCUUUAAAGCUUAUGUUAUCAAAAGCUCUCCAGCAAUUAUGUACAAUCCACCAUAAAAUCAACAAAAACAUGUCAAAUCCCACCAAAUCCUCCAAUUGGUUUACAAGAGGAAAUAGCAAUUUCUAUAGUUAAUUUUCCAGAAAAUCCUGAUUAGAAACAAUCAACCACCUGUGAUGUCAGCAAAAUGAGCAAAAUCCCAGCAAACCCACCAAAGAUUGUACCAAUUAAACCUCAAAUAUUAUUCAACCACUUCCAAAAACCCCGUGUAAAACCCAAAUUUUUAGCAAUUGAAACCGCAAUUUCUUAGAAAAGCCCCAACUUUUACUAACCGACGAAAGUUCACUUCUUUUUUCCGAAACCCACAAAUCGAAACCAAUCAAUUCCUGCAAUCAAGCAAUAAAAAAGUCAAUAUUUAAUCCCAGAAAAACAGAAACCACACCCAAAAUUCGAAGCCAAGGCUAAAAACGUACGAAUUCAGUAACAAAGAAGCAAACUUUUCUCGACCCAAGAAAGGAAAGAACGAAAAGCCCAAUUACGUGAAGAAAGAGAAUGUUACUUAGGAUUUGCAUAGAAAGAGUUUUAACACGAAAAGCUAUCUCCUUUUCCUAGUAAGUUCUGUAGAUGGGCUUGCUUGUGUUUCCUUGAUGGAACAAUAUAUUUGAUCCAAAAAAAAAUAAUUUAAAAAAAGAUUUCUUUUCUCUUUUUCUUUUAUAAUUAAUACACUAGUAUCGGGAAGAGAGAACCUUCUGAAGGAAGUAACGACCGACCAACCAACCAGCCAAUUAACCAACAGGUAACAGAGCCACCAGCAGAAGCACCGGAAGAUGUUGCUUGGUAGUAUCUUGGUAUUAAUUAAGUGCGUGUUGUGUGUGUGUGUUUUGUUUCUUCUCCUUCCCUAGUAUCCUUCUCACAUCGGAAUUAUAAGGGCCGGGGGUGGACUUGGAUAGCAGUAGUCUAGGAAGAAUAGGAAAAGGAUUUCAGAUGGCAAUCCAAUGUUGGAAAUGUCAUGUACCCUCUUACUCUUCUUCUACAAUCAUUGCAAUAUAUUUUUUAUAAGAGUAAUAAGGAGUUUAGUAACACUAACGAUGAUGUGUGUGUGUGUAAAUGUCUGCACGUUUCCUGAUGAUCAACUCUUUUUCCUUUUCCUUUUCCUUUUCCUUUUCUUUCAUGGAAGAAGAAGAAGGUAAAUUAUUUGCUCCAGCCUCCAAGCAUAAUUUUUUUUUUUUAAAUUUUGGUAAAAAGUAUAAUGCUUUAUACUCUAAGGUAAUUUCUAUUUGCCCCAUGAAGUUGUGCAAUGUUUGAUUUCAUCCCCACAAAUUAAGUUUUGUUCCCUUUUACCUGCAUCAACUUUUCGCGUAUGUUUUAGGCGGACUUGUCACCUAGUACUAAUUUGUAAGCCAUAGUACUUCCUUUUUUUUUUUUUUUUUUGGUUGGAUGUACUUAAGUUUGAGGUUAAGUGAUACUAAGAAGGAAAAAGGGCAAGGAAAGAUGGUUAAUAAUUCUGCUUAGGACUUUAGUUGAGUCAAAAAUUUAAAAAACGUGUGUUUUCUAACGGUCAUCUUAGCGCAUAAUUUAUUUAGGAAUGUGCUAUAAUAAUUUUGUCUUCUAAGAAAGACAACGGGGAUGGAGUCUUACUUGUCUCUUUGUACUUUUGAUUUGGGUAAGAUUCAUUUAUGCUCUUUUGAAGAGUUUUCAAUAAAAAAAAAAAAGAGUUAUUAUAACACAUUUUUGAAUAAAUUAGAGGACAAAAAGAUAGUUAGAUGAUGAUAACUUUCAGUGUUGUAGUCAGAAUGUAUGUGAAAUCUGGCUGUUUAGAGAAGGCAUGCAUAGUUCUCGAUGCAAUGGACAAACAGACGAACAUUGUUCCAGAUGUUUAUCUGCUUAGAGAUAUGUUCCGAAUUUAUCAACAGUGUGGUAUGCUCGAUAAAUUGCAAGGUCUUUACUACAAAACCUUGAAAAGUGGAAUCAUAUGGGAUCAGGAAUUGUACAACUGUGUGUUAAACUGCUGUGCUCGUGCUUUGCCAGUUGAUGAACUCUCAAAAGUUCUUGAUGAGAUGCUUCGACAUGGGUUUGCUCCUAAUACUGUCACUUUUAAUGUGAUGCUUGAUGUUUAUGGAAAAUCUGGGCUUUUCAAGAGGGCAAGGAAAGUAUUUUGGCUGGCUAAAAAGCGAGGUCUAAUUGAUGCUAUCUCUUACAAUACAAUGAUAGCUGCAUAUGGGCAGCAUAAGGACUUGAAGAAUAUGUCAUCUACUGUGAAAAAAAUGCAAUUUAAUGGCUUUUCAGUUUCCCUUGAAGCCUAUAACUGUAUGUUGGAUGCCUAUGGGAAAGAAGGUGAAAUGGAGAAAUUCAGAAAUGUCUUGCAGAGAAUGAAGGAAUCUAGCUGUGUUUCAGAUUCCUACACAUACAAUAUAAUGAUUAAUAUAUAUGGAGAGCAAGGAUGGAUUGAAGAAGUGUCUGGCAUUCUGAUGGAACUGAAACAAUUUGCACUUGGGCUUGAUUUAUGCGGUUAUAACACAUUAAUAAAAGCAUAUGGAAUUGCAGGAAUGGUUGAAGAGGCUGUUGCUUUGGUUAAAGAGAUGAGAGAAAAUGGUAUAAAACCUGACCUAAUAACCUAUUAUAAUCUGAUCAAUGCACUGCAAAAGAACGAUAUGUUUCUAGAAGCUGUCAAGUGGUCCUUGUGGAUGAAGCAGACAGGACUAUCUAAUUAAGGAGGCAAAUGGACACUACUCACUGUGGUUGCUCUAUCUCUUCUCUUAUUCUCUUCUGCUAAGAAAACCUAAGCUGUGAUAUAACACUGAAAUUUGUUGUAAGUAGGCAUGCCAUAUACACAUUUUCUUCGUACCAUAUGUAGUUUUUUUUUUAGUCCUCUUAUUUGUUGUAAAGUCAUCACAAAGUUUCCUUUAUCCUUUAAUGUUUGCUUCUUUUAUGCCUUUUCUAUGAUGCCAUGAACCUUCUGAAAUAACAUUCAACUUUGGUAGAUAAGUUGAAGUGCAUAUUGGAAAUGCUAAGCUGUAGAAUUGAUGUUUGGAUUCUGCUAUUUUUCAGCCAUUCCUUGCCUAGGGCUACAAACAUGCAAAGACAUCUACAGAAGUAUCAAUAGGUUCCAAAACUUUUAAUUAAAAGUGCUGAAAGAGUUUAUGUUAGAUGCAGGAAGGGUCCCCUACCCUUUGGCGCCUCAGUGUCAAAUAAAUAUAAUUCCACCCUAGCUGAUUAUGUUACAUGUUUAUACUUGAAUGCAGAUAGCUUUUGUACUUUAAUUCUUAUGAGUGGAGGCAUAGUUAUUUAAUUGCCUGCUUCUCCUCUCGUGAUCAUGCACAACAUGACUGCAAUUUAUUUUCUGCUAUUCUUGUGAGCUUCCUGUUCAAGGCCAAUAAUUUCUUUGAGGAUGUUUAUUUAUAAUGAUGUAGUAGGAUACGGAGUGGAUUUUUCCUGCACAAAGUUAUGUGAUGUAAUGAAUAUACUAACUCUGAAUAGUCACGAUUUGUUUUCGAUUACUGACCAAGGGAGAGAAAUAAAUUAUAAAUGGGAUAUUUAUGAAGGAUACAUGGCAAGAUGAUAGAAGAUGGGAUAGAAUAGGAAGUGGGACAAAAGAUCCAUGGCAAAAAUGCCCCAUUAUCGAUGUUGAAAUUCAUUCGCAAUUUGAACUUGUAGGCUAAAAUGAUCUUAGGAUGCAUGAAAAGUUUAUACUCCCGAGGAAGAACUUAGAGUAGUGUAAGAAUCAUGGUAGCAAUCACUUAUGAUGAGAGGAUUCAUGUUUCUGGAUAAGUUACCAACAGAUUUGCCUCCUAUGUCUACAUUAUCUCCUUGGUUUUUUCAGAAACCACUUCCAGAUAUAAAGACUACACCAUGCAUUAAGGGACAAAUGCCAUCUUGAAACAUGGUGUAAUGCGGAUGUGAAACAAAAACAAGUAUCAUAGAGUACCCGAAGCUCAAUCUAGAUAGUCAGAGAUCAGAUCACUAACUAGCUUUGACCCAUGAACUACGUGAAUAUUUGUCCCUAUAUACAAAUCAUUAAGAAGUAGCCACUAUCCAGGAAAGAACGACAGACUAUUGUUUCUAUUAGGUGUGGAAGGUGUGGAAGCAAGGCAGCUCAGCAACUUCCAUGCCCUCAGAGAACCUUUCUGAGCAAAGAAGACAAACCUUCACUUCUGACUUAACACUACAUUUAACAUCAUCUUCAUCAUAAACGUUUGUUCUUUUUGUGGCCUAAUUUUGAGUGCUGCAAUUUAUUCAUAUUUUUAACUCACUUGUGGGCUAAAAUGAUCAUAUGAUGCGUGGGGGCUUACUAUUCAAGUUCUUGGAAGAACAAAAGAUGGCAUAUCAAAUCAUGGCAACGACCACCUGUGAUGAGAGGAUUCAUGUUUCUUUUUAACUUACCAAUGGAUUUGCCUCCUCUGUCUGAGACUUCUCCUCUCCUUGGAAUUUCAGAAAGCACUUCCAGAUAUAAAGAGUACUACGAUAAGCAUUAUGGGACAAGUGCCAUCUUAAAACAUGGAUGUAAACCGAAAAGAUGGAAUAGAGUAACCAUAGCUGAAAUGAGAUUGUCAUGCAUCAAAUUAUUAACUACAUUUAGCCCUCAACUAUCCCUAUGGAAACAAAAAUACUGGCUUUACUGAUACUAUUAGGUAUUCCACUAUCCGAAGUUUGAGAGAAGAUAAUAGAACUAAUUUAGACACAAGCUGCACAGCUUGAUUUAUGCACAUUGGACAAGAGUUAGCUACAACUAGCCACUUAAAAAUACAUCCCUUGUGGAAGGUGUGGGAGCGAGGCAAUUCAGCAACUUCCAUGCCCUCAAAGAACCUCUCCAAGCAAAUAGGACAAACCUCCAUUUCUGACUUAUCACUAUAUUUGUCAUCAUCUUCAUUUUAACUGUAAGAACGCAACUUCAAACCUGCCUGGACUUCAGAUAGAGAGAUUGAGGUUUUUAAACUUUAGGGAGGUCAUGUGUAGAGCUGUUAAACGAACCGAGCUGUUCGGUAGCUCGGUUCGUUUCGGCUCGUUCGUGUUCGUGAAAGGCUCGUUCGAAAUUUUAAACGAACCGAGUUCGAACGAAUUUUUUUGUUCGAUUAAUAAUCGAGCGAACACGAGCAUGUUCGCGAGUUUUAACGAACAUUCGCGAACAUGCUAAACGAACGUUCGCGAACACGAACAUGUUCGCGAGUUUUACCGAACGUUCGCGAACAUAGACAUAAUUAUCAUUUAACAAAUUUUAGGGUUAAUUUUAUGGCUGGACUUUUAUAUUUAGAGGGCAAAUUUCUUUGUUUUAUUUGUUGUUUUUAUGUUAAUGUUAGUUAUAUAGUUAAUGAAUAAUAGAAUUUAGUCACUUAGUGCUUUAAUUAUUUUUUAGAAUGAUUAAUAAUUUGCAUGGCAUAUUUAAGGCAUAAAAUAAUUUGGAUUCGAGCAUUUCGAACAUGUUCGCGAACUCGAACUCGAACUCGAACACGAAUUUUACUUAACGAACCGAACACGAACACAGGUUUGGAGUUCGAAAAUUAAUGAACGAACACGAACGUUGUUCGAACUGCUUAACGAACAGAGCUCAAACAUGAGAUACUCGGUUCGAUUCGGUUCGUUUACAGCUCUAGUCAUGUGGUAUCAUGUAAAAGUAUAGAGAGAUUAUUGAGUAAAAUAAUUUUUUUUUUAAUGAAACAGGCCCCUUUUAGAUAAAUAAAAUCAAUAAAACGGAAACCAAUUGGGAUUUGGUGCAUGAAAAGUCAUACACCAUAUCUCAGGUUGUCAAUCAGAUUUUGUGAGUUGGGUUUUGAGAGGUCUAAACUAGCUCAUAAAAUAAAGUAGAACUUUUGGACUUUCAGACUUAGACUACAGAUUCAAUGUGCAAGACUCAUACUCGACUCCUAAAAAAUUUAGGGCUUUAGGCUUAAUUCGAGCAUGACUCAAAAGUACAAUUAAUCCACAAUUAUAUACUAUAUGCAUAUGAUGUUUAUUUUAUUUUAGCAUUAAAUUAUAAAUUAUAAACUAAGGUGCACAGGUUAAAGUUUUUUUUUUUGAGGGGAGGGGCGGAGCAACUCUCACAAAAUCAGGGGUACAUUUAUGAUAAUUUCAAAAAAAAAAACGUUAAAAGUGCUUGACAAAUUAAGGUUGUAAAUCACUUGUGUAAACAAAUUAAAGUGAUUUUGAGUUGUGACAUAUGCAUAAAAAAUACAUCAUCAUUAUUAAACAUCCAGGAGAAAAGGAAACAUCCAGGAUUAGAGUUUUUUUUUGCUUUUUUUUUUUUUUGUAGCACAAUUUGGGUAGUUCAGAAACCAAGUUAAUAAAGAUUGACAUGGAUUAUGAGCUAUGGAGUCAGCAUGAACUUAAAUGCAAACAACACAAGCCGAUCUACACAUUGGACAAGAGACAGUACUAAGCAGCCAUUGAUAGACACGUCAAAUACUCCUUCAAAUUAAUCAAUUACUAAUCAAACUCAGAGACGAACAAUUGAAAAUCAAAUCCAAAGGGCUAAGUAAAACCACCAUCAACAUAUAGAAACUAACAAAGAUUAUCUGACAUAUAAAAGUUAAUGACAUUACCCAAAAAAAUUCCCUUGUGCAUUUUGUCCCUAAAGCCAAAUCAUCAAGUAGUAAUGAUCAUAAUCCAGGAAACUAAGGAAAAAGACAGACCAAUCAUCCUGUUUGGUGUUCUACUAUCCCGAGUUUAAUACAAGAUUUCCAAUUGUACUGGACCAAAACUGCAGAAGUUGAUCCACAAAUUGGACAAAGAUCAGCUCUAGCUAGGUACCCAAAGAUCCAUCUCCUGUGGAAGGUGUGGGGGCAAGGUAGCUUUGCAACUUCCAUGCUCUCAAAGAACCUUUCUUGCCAAAUAGGACAAACUUUCACUUCUGACUUAUCAUGACAUCUUUCAUCAUCUUCAUUAUGAACAUGCAACUUCAAAGUUGCCUAUGCUUCUACCAAACCCUUUGCAGCUUCUGCUGGUUUGCUACUAGAAAGAUCGAUAUCAUAAAGGGUGUUCAAGAGAUCUUCAAUCUGCUUGACACUUAUAUCGCCCUUAUGCUCAAUGACCUUGUCAAGCUCAUUAACUUUGCCCAUGUCGCAAUUAUCUGCUGAUUCCACAUGUAUUAUCGAGUCUGGUAUUGAGUUCAAGGGGAAAAACAAGCUUAGGAUCCUCACUGGACAAUAUUUCAAGACUAAAAUGAAACGUUCGAUGUAUUUGUGAUGCUAAAUCAUCGGCCAAUGACUUCAUAUUGGUGCAUGAAUCAAGAAUGUUUCAAGAUUCAAGAAUUUGGCUCAACAUUAAACUUUUGAAGUCAAACAAAUUGACGCCUCCUGAUGCAUUCUUGCAAAACGAAACGGUUCCAGCCUACUUAAUAGUACGAGGUUGGGGAAUGGGACUAGCAAAGGCAGUAAACAGACAGAUCAAGAAUAUGCCGCCUCUAGGCUCCGGGAUCUUUGCAUUCGAUUUGAAUACUUGAAUUUUGGACUCAACCUUUUUUAUCUCUGUCAUACAAGCUCUCUUCGUCUCCAUAAAAUUUACUAGCCUGCUGUUUUUGCAACUUCUAAUGUUAAUGGAUUCAAAAUUGUAUUUUUGAGGAAGGUUGCAAGUUUCCUUGGAUUGAUUAUAAGUUCUUUUGGUUUUCUUUUGGAUUGAUUAUAAGUUCUUUUGAUUAUAAGUUUGAACCCAACCGAGUCAUCAUCGAAACGGAGCUCUUCGUUCUGAUAUUGAGGCGAGAUAAUUCUACGAUACAUGGAUUGCCAAGAACUCAGCGAGAAGUCUCCAACCUGGACAGAAACGGUCGAGUCACAUCGAGUCAACUUGAAUCCAACCAAAAACCAAUAGAAAAAACAAAAAAAAAGGACGAAAUUGUUAUAUUAGAAAAAAGAGAAAAACAAUUGUUGUAUCUGACAACCCAUGCACAAAAGACCAAAAUACAAAGGAAAUAAAGACUCAACAGUGAAAUUCAUCAAUAAUUUGCAAUCCAAAACAACAAUAGAACAAAAAAUCAAAUCAAAGAAAGCUACCACUUUACUUUUCUUUCAAAAACUGCAGCCAUACAAAGUGAGAAAAAGUGAGAGAAGGAGGUGUAAAGGAAAAGAUGGCCAAAACUUCAGUGGAGGAGAGGUGAAAUUUGGCGAAACUUUCUUUCAUGGUCGCAUUAUUUGGAUGCUGAACUUUAGGAAAAGUGUCUGAAAUUUAGGCCCAACGCUUCGAAGAGAAGAGAAAAGUUCAGAAACACUAAGAAUUUGAUCUAUACUCGGUGAGUUCUUUUUGUAGUUGAACGUUGCUUCUAUUUCCAUUGUUUAUAUAGAUAAACAUUUUUCCUAUCUGCAUUUUCUCUUAUAGAAAAGUUUGGGGUUAAAAUCAUGGACAUCCAUCUCAAUUGGGUUUGGCCCGGUUGAUUUAUUUCUUUAAAUUUUUCUAUACUUAUUAGUAGGUAUGAAUUAGAAACGUAUUGGAUUAAUUGUGGCCCUUAUGUAAUGAGCCAAGGUUGAAUUAAUUUCGAUUGUGUCCAAAAUAAUAUUUAGGAAUUUAGAUUUAUCUGACUAAUUUGUGUUGUUGAAAUUUAUUGUGGGUCAAACACAAGCUUAACACUUAUCUCACAUAUAAUUCAAAGUAUACAAUAGAUUAGUCCAAAUUCAUUUGAUAUUUAGUAAAAAUAGUAAAAUAUCUGUUAUAUCUUUUAAUAUAAAUUUUCUUACUGGUAAUCAAUUUUACGAGAUAGCUAUUAGUAGAAGUUUCAUCUUUAUUGACUUUUUUUAGCUAUAACGGUAAUUAAUUAUACAAUAUAUUUAUUACUAAAACUUCUAUUUUUGUUGACUUUUAUAGUUAUGAUAACUACCUACAACUCUGGUUAUAGCCUCCAUAUAUAAGAAAUGAAUUGUAAUGAGUAAUUACUUUUAAAUGAUUACUUAUAAUCAUAACGCUUCAGCUAUUUGAAUAAUUUUAUAAAAUGCACUAAUAAUUUUAAUAAACAUUUAAACUUUACUAAAAAUUUCUUUAAAAAAAUGAACAAAUGAUCAUUAUAGCUAGUUUACAUUAUAAAUAAAAUUUUUAACUUACAAAUAUAAUAAAAAUAAAUUAUUACUAUUAUAAUAUGUCUUAAACUACUUGUUGUAUUUUUUCAUAUAUCUUUAAAUAUUUUGCGAUGGAUUAAUCAUAUAUAUUGAUACAUGGAACAGUUACAAUGACGAGCAAGGAUAUUGGUUGGGAACAUGAUACACCUGUGGGUGGGAAUAGAAAAUUUGUGAGAUGCAAUUAUUGUGAAAAAAUAAUGCAUUGUGACAUUACAAGAUUGAAAGAGCAUGUCGGUCAUGUCAGAGGACAGUUGAAGCAUGUCCAAGGGCACCAUGAGAAUAGGUGUAAUAAAAAUGCAUCUAAAGGCUGCUAAGGCUCAAAGAGUUGCAAUAAAAAAAAAAAAGAAGAAAUAUUGAACUCUCUGCAACAAGAAAAUAUAUAUAGUAAUGUCAACAUAGUUAGCGACGAUGAUGACAAAGAUGUCCUUGAAAUUGAUGAAGAAAGUAGGAUGGUGUUGGGAAAAAAAAAAACAGAUGAAUCAAGCAAUUAGAGAGAGCCAAUACUUGCAAUUUGUCGAAGAACAACGAAGGCAUUCCACAUCUGGUUUACCAUUCAUCUGGAAAUGAGAGUGAUUUUAAACCAUAUCGUCCUUCUAUCUUGAUAUUAACAGGUACGGAAAUAUAAAGUAAUAGUAUAUCUUUUUAGAUGCUUGCCUUUUGUUUAAUAUGAUUCCUUUUUAUUUUUGAUAGGAGAUUGAUCAUGAAAUAAGUGAAAUUAUUCCAACUUGUAUAAAAAAUAAAUCCUUAUUUUGUAUUGUUAAUGGUUAUUAUUACUUUUGCAAUUAUUAGUUUUAAAAUUGUGUUUUGUGUUAUCUUGAUUCUGUUUGUGACGCCAUUAUAUUACAUGAUGAAAGAUGCUUAUUGUGUUUAAUAUGUAUAAAAAUAAUACAUUUUACAGAUUUUCUCUUACUAAUUUUUAUUAUUUUUGUUUGGCAUAUUUUUUUAUACUAUUCACAAUUUUUAGAAUAUUAAAUGUUUUUCAAAAUUUGUGUCUUGUUGAGACUGCUACCGAUAUGCCGAGACGGAUGUGGAACGGUUUGGACCACAACUUUAAACCAUGGUAUACACCUCUGCAAAGUUGUUUCUUAAUUAUUUGAGUUUCCAAUUUGGAUUCGGAGUGUCGAACAAUUGAAUUAUAUUCUUCUAAGGAGCAUUCAUUUUUUGAUUUGGAGUAGGAUCAAGCUUUCCUUAAUUUACCCGUUUCAGGAAGGAAAAAAUUGAAGUUUGUUUUUUCGCUUCAUCAUUGUUUCUUUUCCUCUUUGUAUUAGAAGUCUCGUCAUAUUUAACUAAUCCUCUAUAAUAAAGGAAUUAACAUCAGUUCUCGGGAAGAAAGUUGUUUUUGCAUAUGCUUAUAAAACAAGCUACGUAAUUAACUUGGUAGAGUUAUCUCACGUCUUUUACAAAUUUCCUCUUCGUUGUCCUUCUUUUUCGAGUGUCUAAAUAUUCGAAAAAAUUUAGUGAUAUAUUAGAAAACCCUAAUUGGCUGUAACCUUUAUUAUCCUCUCUUUUUGCUCAUCUUUUUUCUACUGUUCUUCUCUAUUGGCUUUGUCAUGGAGCCACAGGCAACUCCUCGUUCACAAGCAAGCCUUCUGCUUCAAAAACAGCUCAAAGAUCUUUGCAGGAAUCCGAUAGAAGGAUUCUCAGCGGGUUUGGUGGAUGAGAGCAAUAUGUUUGAAUGGAGUGUUACCGUCAUGGGGCCUCCUGGUUCACUCUACGAUGAAGGCUAUUUUAAUGCCAUUAUAAGCUUUCCAAAGGAUUACCCGUCAGCCCUCCAGCAGUGAAAUUUACAUCGGAGAUAUGGCAUCCAAACGUAUAUCCUGAUGGAAAAGUUUGCAUGUCGAUUCUUCAUCCGCCCGGUGAUGAUCCAUAUGGCUAUGAGCAUGCAACUGAGCGCUGGAACCCCCUUCAUACCGUUGAAAGCAUAGUCCUGAGCAUCAUAUCGAUGCUUUCUAGCCGAACGACGAGUCUCCUGCGAAUGUGGAUGCUGCAAAGGAGUGGAGAGACCAGAGAGACCAAUUCAAGAAGAGAGUGAAGCGUUGUGUUAGGAUGACUCAGGAGAUGUUGUGAAAUUAUGCGUGCAGUUUAAGAUAUUACAAAUGAUUAGGCACAUACAUUGAGGUUUCUUUUGCUAUCUUGAUAAUUAAAAAGCACUACUUUGUUUUGUUUUUCUUCUAUAUGAAUGGAGAUUCUUUUACACUUGGUUAUUCUUGAUAUAUUAUGGGUUAUUUAUCAUGUUCAUGUGUAUGCUGUUUCUGCUUUUCAAGUUCAAAGUUUAAUUCAACAAUGAUAAGACAAUCUUGUUAAUGCCCUCCAGAGGAGCAGACCAGGUCUAAAAGUGUCUUUAACUCUGAAACGAAAAAUACAGGUCCACUCGAAAAGAUAAUUGAAAAUCAAGAAUUACUGCUAAAUUCAUGCCUCCUGAAUAGCUAGUUUUGCAUGGCUAAAGAGAUCAUUGGGCUGUUCCAUUUAAAUAAUUGACUGCAUCACAAUCUGUGAUCAAACAAUGCUGUGUUCUCUCAAUCUGAAUUCCUCGAAAACCUGCUUGGAUAUUAUGAUGAAGAAAAUCUAGCCCAAGCACUACUACAAGACACAAAUAGAUUAGUACGCUUGAACAAAAAAAGCAGCACAAUAAAUGGUGUCAAUGAUUUCUUUCUAUAAACAUCUCAAGUUACAGAUACGUUUAGUGCUAUAGAAUUACUGCAACCAAUGAAUUCUUUCUAAACAUCUAAAGAUACAGAGUAUGAUUUAGUGCUAUAGGAUUACUGCAUUUGUUAUUCCUAUACUACAGCAGCAUGGUAAGUAAUGAUAACUAAUGGUCAGUCAGGAUAUGUAUACAGCACUUGCAACAUCAAACCUGAUUCUUGAACCACCAGCUUCCAGCCGUCAAAAGCAGAACCGGAGGCAUUUUUCUUGCUCAUUUGCUCCAUUCCCUGGUUAUCUCAUUGCAGGACCAACAGAAUAUAAAACAUGGUGGAUCAAUGACAGUUGAUGAAAGUUGAUUUGUUGUCAAAAAAGUUUUGCUCCAUUUGCCUCCGUACACGCAAAGCUCUUCUGUGCUUACAGCAGACAUAUGCUACAAGUUUCAAUAUACUUGCAUGUAUGCGAGAAAGCCAGCAAUUCUCUUUAGGGAACCUGAAGUACAUGAAACUAAAGCUCAUCCUCCCACUUAUGGAAUCACAAAUUCUUUGUGUCAUAGCUGUCAGCAGUAUCCCUGCUGAGUUUAAGAACCAAUCCAGUUUGACAUAGGAUUUAGCAUCUGCUGCAUAGAAGGAAGAAAUGCAGAUCUCCUUCAGGAGAUAAGAGGAUCACCAGCAUGUCCCCAAUUAAAUUCCCUGAUUAUUCACAUGUCACUGUCUGGCAUGCCCCCGGUUCUCUAUAUGGGCAGUUGCUCCAUUUGAGCUUUCUCCCACAUAUAAGGUCCAGUUUCAUUUCAACCCCUCAGUUGAAGAAGUAUGUGUGAGUGAUUUGAGUACUUCACGCAAGUCAAAGUUACCUCUUUUUGGUAGAGCAGGAAAGGUCAAUGUUGGAUAUGAUGUAUGGAAGUUUUCAAGCAACUGCUGACAUAAACAGAAGAUUACCAGAAAGUAUUUGGAAGUAAAACAAAAGAAAUUUGUUUAUAAAAGCAAAUUCCAUCCUAAAUAAUAUGAACAACAUAUAAUUUUUUCUCACCAAUUUCAUUCUUAGAAUCACAAUAUUCCACUCUGAAAACAAGAUGCUGCAUUAGUAGAGUAAAGCAUCAUUCAGCCUACUGCUACAUUACACGAUGAACUACUUCAACUCAGAUGAUAGACACCAGUCUUAUGGACAAGGCUCGUUAUGCAUGGUCACCAAAAAGUGAGCAAACUCAAAAGGGAAAAGAUAUGUAGCAAUCUCAGCAAACAAGAUAUGUAAUCCUCUAACAUGCUUACAUUUUCAAGUAUUGGCAUGCUAUAAAGCUCCACAAAUUUCUCUCUCAGUAUCUGGUUCAUCUUGUCAACAUCACACGCAUGCGUCCAAAAGGAAUCAUGUACCCCUGCAAUUACACUUUUUAAGAGAUUCAAGCAUUCCUGAACAUAACCUGUUCUUUUAACUAGUAUGAAUGAAGCCUUGAAAUUAUUUGCCAAACUACAAAACUUUUCGAUUGCCAUAUUUUGGAAUGUAGUAAGCAAAAGAGUUCCACUGUUUAGAAAUAGAGGUUAGGAUUAUCUCACAAGAUAUAAAUCAAAGAAAAUCCAAAACCUAAACAAACUGAAAGCCAUUAAGAACUUGUCAAUCUCGAAAGCUCAUACAGUGAGUGAGCCUCCUGAGCAUUUUUCAAUUGUCUCAUUUGCUAUUUAUGUAGUUUGUAUUCACUUCACUUUUAGCUUAGUUUAUUUGUCUUGUUUUCUAACCGUUGACUUUUACCACAAAUUUGGCAGUUGCAGUGACUGAUGAAUCUUUCUUUAUCUGCAUCCUCUACCCUUAUCUGAUAUCACUGGUGGGCAUUUAGGACUAAGCCCAUCAUCUUUGCAUGAUAUAUGCAAACAGGAUAACAUUGUUCUUGCUCAAUCUUUAUUGUGCCUUGUAUCAACAGAAAGUUUAAAGUUUUGGUAUUAAUGAACUCAGAAGUUCUCUGUAAGCAUCCAUUCAUGUUGCAAGUCAUCAAGGAGAAAAUUCCAAGACUUCUUAAUUUUGACACUCAUUUUUAAUCCUGCAGCAUUUACAGAAUCUUUUUCACCAUUUGACAUUUGUCAUAUCCAAGACCGGAAAUCAUGAUAUUCCCAGAAUGUAAUCCGCAUAUUCAAAGCGAGGUAGCCUUUUCCUUAACUAUUACAAUUGCAUAGAUAAGUCUUGUAUUUCAGUUAAGCACACAAAAGAUACUGUUACACCACCACUUUGCUUUUCUAUUCAUAUAGAGAUUCUUCAGUUAAGAGUAGUUACUAUAUCUCCCACAAUAACAGGCCAUGCCUUAGCUUUUGUUUGCAGGCAUUUAUAUGUCACUCUCUCUACAACUAUAACCAUCUCAAAAAAGUACUUAAUACUAAUUGUAGCUUUUCUUGUAUUGUUGCAAAUAUAUCAGAACGCAUACUUUUCUGGACUUAUUAUAUUCACAUAACUUGCCUAACAAACUCAUCUUUGUUCUCCAAAGCACAACUGUGUAAUAGCCAUAGUCAAAGCAGGGCAUCACACGAGAUCUUUGGAGACCAUGAUUUUUAUAACAUAACUUGUUGAACAAGCGAUUUUUUUUUUUUUAAAUCAUCCGAAGCAUGCUGGUCUAAUAGCAAUCAUGCAAACUUCUCAAUUUGACUGCUGCAUUAUGCUGGACUAUCAUUUGAUUAUGCUUGAUGUCCUACUUGUAUAUGACCACUGAGCUUGAACCCACCUCAUAUAUCUCCUAGUUCUCCAUGGCUAGCAAUAUUGAAGCUACUACCAAAAACAGUUGCUUCUACUUCUUGAUAAUAAUUUUAUGUCCCUCUUUUUUUGCAUCCAUCUGUUCACUAUAUUGCAUUGCUCUUGAUUCGUGUUAAGUUUUGUUCCAACUAUAAUUUUAAUCUAAUGAUCGUCAUUAUUUUAAACCCUGGAAAACAGCAUUAAACUUGGAAAUGUUUACCUUAAUGGUUGACAACUGGGAAUGGCAGAUAAAGGAUUAAAAGUCUAAUGUAGACUGAUUCACAUGGAAAUUGGAACUUAAAAUGUGCAACCCACGUGAUUACUCAGCUCUUAUUCUAGAGUUGUUAAUCCUUACCUUACUGUGAUCUUGUUCCAAGAACUAGAAACAUUAAGGUAGAUAUUCAGCUCUUUGAUAUUCUGUAACACUCUUGGUGUUACUCCCUUUUACACCAUAUAUUACGGUGGCACUCAUCCCCUCAUUUAAUAUCAGUAAGUCCGAUAUCCACCAACAUUUGUGGAUAUUGAACAAAGUAACAAGUGUCACCCUAAUAGAUGGUGUAACAGGAAAUUUAACACCAAGUUUGACAGAGUAUCUAAACACAUCUAGGACCCCAAAACCUUCAGGAUAACAAUCAGUAAACAGGGCUAAUCUAUCACAGAGCCAAUAAGAUAUAUACUUUGGAGGCCUUGAGAACAUACCUGCAAAUUGCAAUCCAGAAUCUCUACAAGCAAUUGCGGUCAUCAUCAUGUGAGUACUAUCCAAUGAGUGCACAAAAUUUGGAGGAAAAGCAGUUCUCUGUUUUCUAGCCUCAACCUAGAGUACAAGAUAGUAAUCUAUUCAUUAUAAUCUUAAAAUUGAAUACUGAACUCAGAAAACGUGAUCAAGGUGUCCAACUUAUUCUUUGGAAAAGAAAACAUACUGAAUCACCCUCACGCUGCAAUGCCAGAACCUGAAGCGAAGUUUUUAUCUGCACAUGGAGAAAGAACUGGUAACCACAUAGUCACUGAAUUACAGUAAGGAAAUGACUCCACAGGGCUGAAACAUGAAGCAUUGACCUCUAGAUAGUUUCUUCUUUAAAGACAGAACACAAAGGCCACUUCAGAGGGAGCAACUCACUGUUCUUGAUCAGGUCAAUUAAAAACCUGGUGCUAAUGCGCUGUCUAUCAAGGUUUAUGCAGGUAAAAUCAUACAAAUUCUUGAAAUGCUAUUGAAUAUCUUCGCACACUUUGUAAGUCAUUAAUGGAAGAUAAUCUAUUAGUCAUCCAUUUUUUAGUCAAAAUGAGGUGCCGUCCUCCUUAAAUUAAUAAUCUACAAACAUGAUGCAGAAUCACUCACUUGUGCCAGUCAAACAUAUCACAUCAGGAAGUUGCACUAAGUGGCAGAUUUAAUUAGGUUUAAAGGGGCCAAAUUAAUCAAACACUUACAAUGUGCCGCCGAGAUUUAAAGUAUGGUUGCACAACUGGGAGACCCAGUGGCGUUGUCCAGCGCACAGGUUGGUUUUCUGAAGCAAUCACCUGCCAAAUUUCCAUUUAUCAAUUCAACGAUCUUAAUCGCAUCAUCAUAUGUUUAAGAUGCAAAUCUUACAAACCUUGGCACAGUCACCAAGCCAAACCAUUAUACCACGUGCUGCUUGAAACAGCUCACCAAGUGCAGCCAUUGUCACCUGUAGAGAAUGUCAAGAUCAUUUAACCAACCUAUCUAUGGCAUCUUGUCUGCCAAGUUGUCAUGCCCAAAUUUACUUUUACCACUGUGGUGAAACCAAAAAUAUUCUCCUUAAUAGAAUAUCAGUCAGCUUCUAAUUCAUCAAAACUGAAAUGAACACGAUGUUUCCUGCUUUUAGAUUGUUUUUGAAUCAAGACACUAAGUGAUGCCUCACCGUGUUGUUUAUUUUCCAAACUAUGUUAAUACUCUCUGUUUAACCUAUCAUUUUCAGUUAUUCUACAUGGUGCCCAGUCCAUUAGGACAUUCAUUGUAAAAGCAACAUAGUGUCUCUACAAUAUUUAAUUCUCACAAAAAACAAUGGCACAAAUGACAAUAUUCUUGAAACCUACAAAUGAACAUGCACAGAAAUAUAGAAUGAAUAGAGCAAUAACUUGCAGGAAUAGCAGGUGCCAUUUUAUGAAUAAUCUUUCAAGUAAUUCUUUGAUCUCCAAUCAUUAUAACAGUGUUGAAAAAAUAAAAAGGGAGAAAAAAGACUCAGCAAAUUAGGGAACUUCCUAUAGUCUCUAAACAUGAGCUUCAAUUUAACCGAUUGACAAUUCUCCAAAGUACGUGCACGUUUAUGAAGUUAAUUUUACCAAUUCACAAAAAUAUAUACUUGACCAUCUUUAGCAAGUUGUAGAUAUCUGAAAGAAUGCACUGUGCAUUAUGGAUCUGAUUCUUGCAGCAGUAUAAAUUCCCAGAAAUUCCAGGUCAUUCAGGACCCAAGUGUUCUGAAUAUGCUCAUGUUAAAAGGCAAAUUUAGUAUCAACUGUAAAAGAUACAGUUAAGAUUCAUGCAAAUCUCAUUGAGAAUUAAAUUGAUUAUCAAGUUUCAUACAUCUGAACCAUUCAAAUUUAAUCUCGCAUGGAUGUCUCGUCACGUUGGGAGAUUUUCUGUUUAAAAGUAACCCGGAGGAGUAACACCUAACUGCCAGCAAUAUAAGCACUAAAAUCUAGUUCUGAAGCUUACCUUAGCACCAUAGCAAGCUGCACUGAACAGCAACCUAUCAUCAGUAAUCAGACCCUUCUCCUGUAACCUUCUUUUGAUUUGUUCACGUGCCCCAACAUAAGUGACACCAUAUACCGAUGUCAUGACGUCUGCUUCACCAGUUUCCUGUCUACCUGAAAGAUUCAACAGUCACAAACUUUUUUUGAAAAUUUUGAUGGAAGAUUAUUAUUGCAGCACUAGCAUCUUAAGGAAAUUGAAGAAUUGUUUAAAAUUUGCAACUCACAGAAAAAUAAAUAAAUAAAUAAAAAGUAACCUGAUCAACUAAGAGUUUGGCUAUUGUAGCAUUGGGAUCAAUUGUAGGGUCCUUUUCACUGUCUAGUCUUAUAAUAUCAUGAACCCUGAAAAUCAAAACAGUUCUGAAGAGUUAUUUUGUAAAACAACCAUUUAGCCUUUGGAAAAAGCUUAAAUAAUGAGUCAUUCUCAAAUGCAGACAAAUUUUGAGCCCAGCAUAAUUUCAAGUAUACAAGAACAAUACCAGAAAAAAUAGGAAGUGAAAGUUAAACUAAGCACAGAAACAUAGGAAUCUAACUCAGGAUCCCAAAGAACAAUUUGAGACAUACUGUCUAAAACACAAAACUACAAAACCAUCUUUGGGAAAUUAAAUUUUAAAACUUUGAACUAGACUAACAAUGAUGUUGUGCCUGAAUAUCGUAAAGAUACAGUUCCAAAGAGUUAUUUCACAAAACCAUUUAGACCAUGGAAAAGUGUACACUCAAAAAAAAUCAUUGUUUAAUGUACACAAAAUCAGAGCAAAGUAUAAUUUCAAGUUUAAAAAGGGCAAACCGCAAGAAUUAGUUAGGAAAAUGUCAAAGGUCAAAUGCAGACAUACAGGAAUUUCAGAAUCACAAGGACUACUUCAGAUAUACUAUCUCAAACACAAUUUUCAUCUAAAUCUUUAGUAAAUUGAAUUUUAAAACUUUCAACCAGACUAACUAUGGUGUGCCUGAAUAUCAUAUAAAUUUCAAUUACGUUUAGCCAAAAUAUAGGAAAGAUUAAAUACGCUGCUUUCCCAGAUUCAUAAUAUAUAUAUAUAUAUAUAUAUAUAUAUAUAUAUAUAUAUAUAUAACUAAACACCAUGAAUUUAAACACUUAAUCAAACAAGUAUCAAGAACAUAAUGUCAUUUAUAUACAAAAAUUGAAAUAUUUUGUGAUUAACAUGCUCUCGAAAAAUCUUUUUCUCAAGUACCUUGCAGCAAUUUCAGAAUAAACAUCUGCAGGUUUAUCUCCAGCAAUUAAAUUGACUGCAGCAGCUUCCAUCUGCACAGGUAUGGUCACUUUAUUAAAAGACAGAAUGAUAAAAUGCUACAUGCGAAAACAGAUUUGCAAAAUAUAGUAGUGGAUUAAAGUUCACAUCAACUCAGGUCAACCUAUUACAGCAUCACCAAACUACUAGAGAACAAAACCUGCAUAUUGCUACAAUCUCUGGUUCACAGGAAGUUAGAAUUGAUUCUUUGCCUAGCAAAUAAAACAAGAACAUGUACUAGCUAUAUCAAUGAAGGAGCCUAGAAAUAUCAAAUAUACCAACUCAGGUAAAUACACUCAUGGCUAUAUCAAUUGAAGAAAAAAGAAAAAUGGAAAAGCUUUCACUUGGUUGGGGGGAAGAAUAAUUAAGUCAUUUACGAGCACAAUACAUCAAUGGCUGAGCAGAAACCAUACACUGUCUUUCCCCAAAGCUGCAUAGUGCUGUAGACCAUUGCAUGAACCAUCCUAAUACAGCCAAAAAGAAAAAAAUCAAGUUACCAACUAACAAAUUAGAUUAAAUAGAAGGAAAUAACGAUGAAACACAUUCAUGGGUAAGUUGCUUCAUUCCCUAUCAGAACAGUUAGAAAGGAUAGAGUUAUUCCUCUACAAUCAAAAAAUGCAACCCUGCAACUAAUAAAAAGAUUACUAAAUAUACACGGGACUGUAUAGACAUGUACCAGUGUUUUUGCUCAAACCAGCACUUUCUUUGAAAUCUCAUCAUAAAAGGGAUCUCAUAAGUUUUUCAGAGAUAAGACGACAGAAAGACAAACUAAAAUCUGUUUCCAAAUCACUAUACAUCUUUAAGUUCUCUAGAAGGAAAGGAACAGUGAAACUCUUGAAAGAAAGGAGAGGUAUUGGUAAGUACAGCUUCUAACAACUAAGAACAUACUGUUCCCUUUGGCAAACAAGAGUAAAUGGUUAGUGUUUCUUUUUUUCCUUUUUUUUUGGGGGGGCGGGGUUUGAUUGAAAAUGAUUUAUCUUUGGAUUGUGAAAGUGGUUCAAUGCAGUUGGUCCUUUGUUACACCUUAGUCUACUUUUAAAAAUUGGAGAAUACAGUCAUGUGAAAUUCCACAUUUAGGCAUCACUUUUAGAUUACCCCAUUCUAUCAUAUGGCUAAAAAAAGUUUACUCAGUUAUGGAGACUUAAAAUAGUUUAUAAGUGCUUCACUUUGCUUGUUUCCUUUGCUGAGGAAAGAGGACAGAAGUACCUGGUGGAUGGGCAGGUGAGAGAUGACAGUAUGUGGUGAUGAGCUCUUUAAGGCUUCUGAUAGGUUCAUACAAGCUGCUAAGCACUGAAAAGGAUCCUCAGCCUUUAACCACCAGCGAUUUCCAUUGAGAGGAUUAUCUGCUGAAUCUAAAACUUCAUUCAGGUGAUUUUCCACAAAAGCUAGGCGCUGGUCAUAGGAAAGCUUUUUGACAACCCCUCCAUAAAGAUUUGCUAGAUGUAUCUUAAGCCAAUACACUCCAGAUUUUCCUAAAGGCCGUCCUUCUGCAAACUCCAGGAGCCCUCGACAUAGAUCAGAACUCAGAUGAUUCAAAUGUGGAUGCAUAGGAUAUGCACGGCCCCGAAAAUCCAGAUUGUGGGGAUAAUAAAAACCAUCCUCAUCUUUCAUUUUAUGAGCCACCUGCUCUGCAUAAAAACUACUUACAAUUUACCCAUAUAAAUCUGCAGACUGAUCUAAAUUAGUACUUCUAGAAGCCAGCUAAGUGAUGUGAGAGAAAACAAGAUGAUAUGAUUUGCAGAGGGUUUCAGCGAAAUUAUUACAUGACAGACCAGUUCCUGAUAUUUCCUUCCUCGAAAUGGGAUAAUCAGUAAUGAUAAAGAUACUCACAGAAAGCUUGAGUUCAAUGUCACAUCGCUGUGAGUGCCUCUCUGGUUGAUUUUUUUUGCUUUCCUCAUGUUCCAUUUCCAUUUUUUGAUUUCUUCCACCGCAUCAGAGUGCAAUUCAGGUUUAUGAACCUAUAUAAGAAGUAACAAGUUGCAUAGCAUCAGCAAUUUCAUGCUGAUGAGUCCAGCAAUCAACUUGUUUUUAUUCAAACAUAAAACGGCACAUUUGGGAUAGCUUUUAAAGGAUGAAAAUCCAUUUCAGAGGAAGUUUUUCAAACUGAACUUUAAAUCAUGGUAUUGUUACAUUACCACCUAUUUUUGGUGAUAUACAAUUUUAAAAUCUAUCUAAAUCCUAAAGUUCACAAUUUCAGUUCAAUAUUUUUUGUAGAUCACAUGCCAAAUGCAGAUAAAUACUAAAAUAUGACCUUUUCCGUAUCAUUUCCAUGCAGAAACUCCAAUUAACUAGUUUCAUUACCAUUGAAAUGCCUCCUGACUUUCUUGAGAAGUCCAUCCAAAGGAAGCUAUCUCAUGUAGUUUCCUGUGCAAAUCCUAUAAAGUGGCUAAACCACGUGUUAGACUUCUUGAAUGGACUUCCUUCGCUGAAUGUGUACUUAAAAGUGCUUCCAAACAUCCGUAACAUCUUUAAACUCAAGGCUUAAUGUUCAGCACACAGGAUCUUUAAAGUAUAAAGUUAUGGGUCUGUGGAUGAAUUCAUCAUAUAACACAUAUACGAACCAAUCUUGCAUGCUAGAUAUAUUUAGAAUGCACUUACAUCGUUGCGGUUUACCAGGCCAGCAAUGUUGCCACCUCCUCCCCAAACAGUCUCAACCACAUUCAGAAUUCGUCUGUUCACUCUCCAUUUGGUGUUUCCCAACGUAUCUAAGGCCUGCAAAUGUGUAGAAGUAAAGGAUCCCAUAAGUUCCCUGAGCAAACAAAUGUCCUCCAACUAUCAGAUAGGAAUAAAUAACCUAUAAAGCUAAUUGUAGCACAAUUACUGAUGGCUGCAAAUUGCAGACUUCAUCCCAGACCACAUGUAAAUUGACAUCCACAAUUUGCACUAUAAGUUAAAAUCCAAAAGUUUUGAAGACACAAACAUUAAGAUCCAUCAUGCUACAUAACUUUCUUCUCAGAAGGACAAAAAGAUUCCCUAUAAAGGGUCAAAUGAUUAAUUUAUGGAGGAUGAGAAUUCAAAUUAAAAUUAUCUUCCAGCUCCUCUUAAUAUUUGUUACUGAUAUACCUGAUAACAGAAUGGGUUCAGAACUUCAAGGGAAGAGGAACCAACCUUACUCAAAGAAGUCCACAGGCAUAAAUGGAUUCCAAAAUUCUUGCGUUACUUUCUUACAAGUACCAUCCUUUGUUUUCUAAGGGUUCACUGUCAAUUUGAGGACAAGUUAUAGUUUCCAUUUUGUCCAGAAGGUAUCACGUGUUUCAGUCAGUAUUUAUUUCUUCCGGGUCCAAGGAACCAAACCAAAACCAUGCAAAUGGUUCUCCUGUCUCAAUGAAAACCAAAUUAUGGUCGACAUGGAGAAUUUCUUCAAGAAUUUUACAGCUUUGUGAUAUUGCUGGAUGCUUGAAUUGUAACAAGUUGAAAGACAUACAUUAAAAAUAAAUAUAUAAAUUUGAAAGACAUGAUAGUAGGAAUUAAAGAAGUAUAAGCACAUGUAAUAUUUAGAAUGAGAAUAUUAUAAAGGACUUCUUUUGCACAUUAAAAAAUAAGUCAACCAACUUUUUGAAGUUGUUCUUUUGAUAUGGCCUCCUGAAGACAAUAGCUUUUAUCUAUGAAAUGGAAUCUUAUUCCACCACACUUCGCAUAGCUAGUACAGAGGUUAUCAGGUGACAAAUAUAAUCAGUUGACAAGUGUUAUAUUCUUCAGUAAAUAAAAUUGUUAUCUUAAGCUGAAGUUGAGUAAUU
rnacentral:lncRNA from 1 species